rnacentral:rRNA from 1 species
GAUGAACGCUGGCGGCGUGCCUAAUACAUGCAAGUCGAGCGAACAGAUGAGGAGCUUGCUCCUCUGACGUUAGCGGCGGACGGGUGAGUAACACGUGGAUAACCUACCUAUAAGACUGGGAUAACUUCGGGAAACCGGAGCUAAUACCGGAUAAUAUUUUGAACCGCAUGGUUCAAAAGUGAAAGACGGUUUUGCUGUCACUUAUAGAUGGAUCCGCGCCGCAUUAGCUAGUUGGUAAGGUAACGGCUUACCAAGGCAACGAUGCGUAGCCGACCUGAGAGGGUGAUCGGCCACACUGGAACUGAGACACGGUCCAGACUCCUACGGGAGGCAGCAGUAGGGAAUCUUCCGCAAUGGGCGAAAGCCUGACGGAGCAACGCCGCGUGAGUGAUGAAGGUCUUCGGAUCGUAAAACUCUGUUAUUAGGGAAGAACAAAUGUGUAAGUAACUAUGCACGUCUUGACGGUACCUAAUCAGAAAGCCACGGCUAACUACGUG